GGCUGCGCGGUGAAAAAUUUAAUUUUUGUAGAUGGUUCAGUGGAACCAGUCUCAACCAGUUCACUCCACCACCUCAACAAUAAAAACAAAAAAGGGAAAAAAUAAAAAAUACUAAACUAACUUCUCUGAAUAACACUCAACGAAACUGGUAUAUGUUUUAUUUCAGUUUUCACCUUUCGAUUCUAUGCCAGCUACAUAUGUAUGUAUUAGAUGAAGUGAACCGAACUGGCCCACUGUGACUUACAUAUAUGUAUAUUGCCUGUUAUAAAAGAAACUUUUGGAGAAAUUUACAAAUACAAAUAGCUUUAAAAGGGGAAACGCCCUUUAGAGGCUUUGCAAAAUCUUUUUUUUUUUUUUUAAUCGAUAUUGCCUCAGAAUAUCAUGUCAGGUUUAAACGCUAAUUCUCGAAAUUCUGAAGGUGAUGCCUUCCGGAAGUUACUGGCGCCGAGCUAGCCCCUCCUUGACGCAAAUUGUAAACACCAUUUUCUCAAAACCAUGUUUUUUAAAAUUGUGGUAUUGAUAAUAACAAAACUACAAAACUGAUUUUCAUCAUCUAUCAGUCUUUUUUAAGAGCAUAAAAAAUGAGCUGGAUAAUAAGGGAAGUGACGUUAUUGCGGUGCGAAAAGGAAAUAAAUUUUGUUUUAAAAGUGGUAAAACUUUUACCGAAACUUUUCAAUUGGUGAAACAAGUUUAUUCCGAUGAUUGCCUAUCCCGUAGCAGAGUGCACGAGUGAUUUCAACGUUUUCAAAGUGGACGUGAGGACGUGAAUGACGAUGUAAUCGCGCCUGGAGAAGUCAAAAGUGAAAACAAUGCUGAUUUGUUUUUAUGAUUCCACGGGUAUUGUCCACAAAGAAUUUGUUCCACCCGGCCAAAACAGUAAUGCAAUAUUCUUGAACCUUGAAGUUUUGAAGCGUGCGCCGUAUUCGACGUGUCCGAAUAUCGUAAAUAUGGAAGUUGGCGUCUGUUGCACAAUAAUGCGCCGUCUCAUCGAUCGACGCCUGUGGCCGAUUAUUUGACCAAAAAUCACAUUUUAACUAUCAACCACUCCCCGUACUCACCUGAUAUGGCACCAAGCGACUUAUACCUUUUCGGAAAAAUGCAUUUGCCGAUGAAAAGAAAACGUUAUGGUGACGUAGACACCAUUCAAAAGGCUUGCAUAUUGGCGGUCAUACCGGGCAAAGAGCUGAAACACUCGGUCGACUGCUUUUGGCCGUGCAAAAAGCUGUAUUAAAGCAGAGAGAGACUAUUUUAAAUGAAAUAAAUUGAUUUUGCCAAUUAAAACCA